CACAAGGCGGUGGAGCUAUGUGUUUAAUUCGAUGACUACACGAAGAACCUUACCGAGGGUUUGACAUGUAAGUGGUAGUGAUCUGAAAAGUGAACGACCCUUCGGGGAGCUUACACAGGUGCUGCAUGGCUGUCGUCAGCUCGUGUCGUGAGAUGUUCGGUUAAGUCCGCUAACGAGCGCAACCCUCACUGUGUGUUAUACGUGUCACACGGGACUGCCGGUUUUAAGCCGGAGGAAGGCGAGGAUGACGUCAAGUCAGCAUGGCCUUUAUAUCCUGGGCUACACACACGCUACAAUGGUCUGUACAACAGGUUGCCAAACCGCGAGGUGGAGCCAAUCCCUAAAACAGGCCUCAGUUCAGAUUGCAGGCUGCCAACCCGCCUGCAUGAAGCCGGAGUUGCUAGUAACCGCAGGUCAGCUAUACUGCGGUGAAUACGUUCCCGGGUCUU
rnacentral:rRNA from 1 species